rnacentral:tRNA from 1 species
GGGGUCGUAGCCUAGCCUGGUAGGGCGACGGGCUCCAGACCCGUAGGUCGUCGGUUCAAUUCCGAUCGGCCCCA